AAUACUGACGAAGAAACAAGAAAGAUUGCUGGAGAGCAAUUUAUUGGAUUUAUCAACAAACUGAGUGGUAAUGAUUUGAACAAAUUUUUAUCAGAAGUAUGGACAUUGAAGAGAAGAAUGGAGAAAGAUACUGAGCAGAUAAGUAAGAAGAGGAAAGUUGAAAAACAAUCUUACUUCCCGAAUAAGAAAUAAUUUCUUCUAAGAACUUACUGUAGAGCUCUCAAGAUGACUAAUUCAACUAUACAGUCCAGACACACACACAGCAUGUCCUCACUAACACCCGGGUAUAGGCAAAAUUGAAGGUGCUAUCUGUGAUUACUUAACUAACUAACUGAAUUAACCAACCAUUGAGACUGUGUAUUAAUGAAUGUGAAAAGUGAUGGAGAAGAUUUAUAACUUUAUGUAUCUUAAGCUAUGUUAGAUUGUCUAUGUUAAUGUUUAGAAUGUAUUGGUGAAAAAUGAUAAUUGUAUGUAUUUUAAGAGGUGAUGGUGAAGAAUAAUAUUUGCAUGCAGCUUAUGCUUUGAA